UACGUAGGUGGCGAGCGUUGUCCGGAUUUACUGGGCGUAAAGAGCGCGCAGGCGGUCGGUCAAGUCGCGUGUGAAAGCCCCCGGCUCAACUGGGGAGGGUCACGCGAUACUGAUCGACUCGAAGGCAGGAGAGGGUAGUGGAAUUCCCGGUGUAGUGGUGAAAUGCGUAGAUAUCGGGAGGAACACCAGUGGCGAAGGCGACUACCUGGCCUGUUCUUGACGCUGAGGCGCGAAAGCUAGGGGAGCAAACGGG
rnacentral:rRNA from 1 species